ACGUACACUCCUGCGGGAGGCAGCAGUGGGGAAUAUUGCACAAUGGGCGCAAGCCUGAUGCAGCCAUGCCGCGUGUAUGAAGAAGGCCUUCGGGUUGUAAAGUACUUUCAGCGGGGAGGAAGGCGAUAAGGUUAAUAACCUUGUCGAUUGACGUUACCCGCAGAAGAAGCACCGGCUAACUCCGUGCCAGCAGCCGCGGUAAUACGGAGGGUGCAAGCGUUAAUCGGAAUUACUGGGCGUAAAGCGCACGCAGGCGGUCUGUCAAGUCGGAUGUGAAAUCCCCGGGCUCAACCUGGGAACUGCAUUGGAAACUGGCAGGCUAGAGUCUUGUAGAGGGGGGUAGAAUUCCAGGUGUAGCGGUGAAAUGCGUAGAGAUCUGGAGGAAUACCGGUGGCGAAGGCGGCCCCCUGGACAAAGACUGACGCUCAUGUGCGAAAGCGUGGGGAGCAAACAGGAUUAGAAACCCGAGUAGUCCCA
rnacentral:rRNA from 1 species